UACGUAGGGGGCAAGCGUUGUCCGGAAUCAUUGGGCGUAAAGAGCGUGUAGGCGGCUCGAUAAGUCUGCUGUGAAAGUCCAGGGCUCAACCCUGGAAGGCCGGUGGAAACUGUCGGGCUAGAGUCCGGAAGAGGCGAGUGGAAUUCCCGGUGUAGCGGUGAAAUGCGCAGAUAUCGGGAGGAACACCAAUGGCGAAGGCAGCUCGCUGGGACGGUACUGACGCUGAGAUACGAAAGCGUGGGGAGCAAACAGG
rnacentral:rRNA from 1 species